CACGUAGGGCGCAAGCGUUGUCCGGAAUUAUUGGGCGUAAAGAGCGUGUAGGCGGUCAGGUAGGUCCGUUGUGAAAACUCGAGGCUCAACCUCGAGACGCCGAUGGAAACCAUCUGACUAGAGUCCGGAAGAGGAGAGUGGAAUUCCGUGGUGUAGCGGUGAAAUGCGCAGAUAUCAGGAAGAACACCCGUGGCUAAGGCGGCUCUCUAGUACGGUACUGACGCUGAGACGCGAAAGCGUGGGAGCGAACAGG
rnacentral:rRNA from 1 species